AGGCCUAGAGGUCAGCCCCUCCAGGGGCGUCAGGCCCGCUCACCCUCCCCACACCUCUAGCACACGGGGUCUGCCCUGCACACCUAUCAGCAUGAGGGGCCUGCAAGGGGCCGGUCCCACCGUGACCCAGGCCCUCCCUGGGCCAGAGGAGCCUGUCUCCACGGAUGGCCCCGACGCCAAUCACCAAGGUCAACUGGGGCUCCACGUCCCGAGCCACAGGCGCUGCACUUGCAGCUGAGCCCACGGACCACGCUGGUGUCCACUGCCCUGCCCUUCCAGGCCAGGGCCCCCAUCCUGGAGGACCUCUGGUCCCUCACACACGUGUGUCCCACGCCAGCACGCACUCAGAAGCGAGGAGGUGACACCUGGGGCCGAGGGCCCUCCUGCAGGCCGCAGACCACAGCCAAAGUUUCUGGGGACAUGUGGAGACGCCACGGGGUGGGAGCAUCAGGCGCAGGAGGGCAGCCACCCAGGGUGGCUGCAGCCUCUUCUGUCAGGCCAGGCUGCGGGUCCAGAGGCCACCCACCCGUCCCACACACUGGCCCGAGCUCUGCAGCGAGCCGAUGACUGGCCCCUCUGGGUCCUCACCACCUCUCUGCUCAGCCUCGGCCCUAGGUUACCACCUGGGCCUCCUCCGUGCCCAGUGUGGGCUGGAUGGCUGUCAGGCCACAGUGCUGACAGCUGGCACGGGCCCAGCUCCGUCUCAGGGCUGGGGUGGCAGAAGCAGCUGGGCUGAGUGGCAGGAGGCCUGGCCUGAGGCAGCUCCGUGAGAACGUGCCGACAGGGUCCCCACACGGGCAGUAGCCGGCGUGACCAGGCCGGGGCUGGGUGGGGCCAGGAAGGCCUCCUGGACGAGCAGGCACAGCACUUACCCCGGGCGACGGCGGGCGGGAUGACCAGGAAGACCAGCAGCCGGGCCUGGUGCAGCGCCUCGGCCAUGUGGGUGAGCAGAUGAAUGAGCCCCUGCAGAGAAGCGGAGCACAGGUCAGGGCAGCGGCGCUGGGCAACGCCUGGCCACCUCCACCCACCCUGGCCUCACAGCCCCGCUGUAGCCCAUACUCCAGACCCGGCCCCAGGCGUGGGGCGGAACAGGAGGGCCGCGGCGGCGCCUGUCACCUCUGAACCCUGCCGGACACGCAGCCACGCAGGGUGAGGAAGGAGCCUGCGACUCUGGGGUGCUGCGGGCAGGG
rnacentral:lncRNA from 1 species